AUUGAACGCUGGCGGCAGGCCUAACACAUGCAAGUCGAGCGGAUGAAGGGAGCUUGCUCCUGGAUUCAGCGGCGGACGGGUGAGUAAUGCCUAGGGAUCUGCCUGGUAGUGGGGGAUAACGUCCGGAAACGGGCGCUAAUACCGCAUACGUCCUGAGGGAGAAAGUGGGGGAUCUUCGGACCUCACGCUAUCAGAUGAGCCUAGGUCGGAUUAGCUAGUUGGUGGGGUAAAGGCCUACCAAGGCGACGAUCCGUAACUGGUCUGAGAGGAUGAUCAGUCACUCUGGAACUGAGACACGGUCCAGACUCCUACGGGAGGCAGCAGUGGGGAAGAUUGGACAAUGGGCGAAAGCCUGAUUGAGCCAUGCCGCGUGUGUGAAGAAGGUCUUCGGACUGUAAAGCACUUUAAGUUGGGAGGAAGGGCAGUAAGUUAAUACCUUGCUGUUUUGACGUUACCAACAGAAUAAGCACCGGCUAACUUCGUG
rnacentral:rRNA from 1 species